UCAAAAGCAGCUGCAGGACCAGAGAGUCCCACGGCGGGAGGGGGGGGCGGGGUGUACAAAGUUGUCUCACUGGAGUCUUCUGACACCUUGCAGGCAGCUCCACUUGAGAGUGUCUUCUCUCCAGCAACGACCUACUGCUCGUGUAACUUAAAAUGGCUCAGACAUCUUUAAGUGACUCACCCAAGGUCAUCCCACGGACAGACGUCAGAGCUGGGAUUCAAGCCCACACAGGCAUCCCUCCAGGAGGCUUCCUACCCUGUACUUCCCUCCUCAGUGUCUAGGCUGGGGCAUCACUGCAAAAGCCUGGGCCCCUCCCAUGGCUCUCACCCAUGGGAACAACUGGUAACAAUUUGUGAAGGUGAAGGCAGUUCGGCACACACGUGUUUAUCUGCCCUCUCCUCUGUACCCCUAAUAGCCUGGAGAGUCAUUAUAAAGUCUAGAGGACAAAAGAGUUAGGAACCUAUGAAGAGCAUUGGGUGGUCAGAGUCCAAGUGCCUUGAUGUCCCCGUGGUCCAGAUGUCAGCAUCCGCCACCGCCACCAUGCUUCACACUAUCCUGAUGCUCCUGCCGUCCUCACAAACUGGGGACCAAGUUCUAGUGUAACUCCUGACUGUCGUCCCCACCAUUGCGUCUGGCAGACAUGAGGAUGCCGUUUUGCCUGGGCUGUUUAGACCUGGGGCAAUCUCCUGCCUCAAGACACCAGACCCAGUCUGUUCCUCCCCUGCUCACAAUUCUCCCAUGGCUCCCAGCACACUCCAGGGAAGAAAACAGAACUCAGUGAGUGUGGAGAUCCAGUUCUGAACUCUCCAAUCUCAUAGGUCUUGAUGCUGGAUUUAGGUACCACGUGUGACAUUCCACACCCACAUCCCCCUCUUCCCAAUCCCCAGUGUGAAUGUCUCUUCUACCCAAAAUGCCCUUUCCUGGUCACCAUGGUCACCAUUCUGGUCUCCCCGACAACCCCCUCCCAUUCUUGAGGCAUCUUCCUGGCUGACUCAGAGGCCUGGGGGAGGGAGGUCAAGCCGCUGUGUGGCUAGGACCCAUGGCCAUGAACUUGCAGGAAAAUGUGACCUUGGCCAUGGCCGUGUUCACCAUCCUAGCCUCCAUCUACUUCUUCAACAAGGCUCAGCAAUGAGAAGGCAUGGCUCCCCAGUCCUCCAGCCUGGCCUCUGCCUGUUCUACCAUCGCUCUGGCCUCUAAGAUCUAAUAAAUGUAACAGCAUCAGA